UUAAAAUGCGGUUCCGUUGCCUAGGUAAUGCCAACAUCCAGCCAGGCGCUCAAACUUAAGAAAGGCGUACUGACGGAGGAUGAAGAGCGACCGACGUCGUCGGGACAUCGGUCGGGAUCUCAGUGCUCUGUGCCGACAGUUGUGAGUGGCGUGCGCUGGGCGGGACUGGUUCCUCAACGGAAGUUGAUAAAGUUGACAGCCGGCCCACUUCCGGUCGAUGUUGGCCCUACACCGCCGGGCUAGACAGAUCGUCCAUCUCUGCAAAGCAGCCAGUCAGUCCUUUCCAAUACCAGAAGUUACUCGCUCUUGGUUUCCGGCCCAGUACCCUCUUGCUGGACCCGGACUGCGUGUAUGAUGCCACCUGCCACCGCGUCUGUAGUACGCAUGCACCGCGAUCCCGGAAGGAGAGCCCACAGAAACCGGACGCACCUAGCGGGAUCGUGGCACGGGGAGCUGUUGAUCCUCAGAUUGACGCGGCAACGCCGGAUGAUCUAGCUGGCCAGGACGCCAAUGUCAUGCGCAGUGAC